GUUCUUCCCUUGCCAUUUUCAAAAUAUUCUUUCUCCUCAAUAAUUUCAACCCUCUUCCAUAAACCGGAUAACUACCAAUGUAGACACGUCAUACACUUCACGCAAUUCAACACAAUCCUGAAAGUACAGAUUCCUUUUCAAUUUAAAAGUGGGUCCGAAUAACAAAUCAAUCAAAAAUCGAUUAGGAUUGAAAAUGGACCGGUCGUCAUCGGAGAAGCUCAUACUCGUCAACCGCGAACCGAACGGCAUCGCGGUGAUUACAAUCAACCGUCCCGACGCUCUCAACUCGUUGACUCGGGCGAUGAACGUGGACAUGGCUCAGGCUUUCAAGAGCCUGGACCGGGACGAAUCCGUUCGGGUGAUUAUAUUGACCGGAUCAGGCCGAUCUUUCUGUGCCGGCGUUGAUCUCACGGCGGCGGAGGAUGUUUUCAAGGGUGAUGUCAAAGAUCCGGAGAGUGAUCCCGUCGUGCAAAUGGAACGGUGCCGUAAACCGAUUAUUGGUGCUAUUAAAGGAUUUGCAGUUACGGCUGGAUUCGAGAUUGCGCUCGCUUGUGAUAUUUUGGUUGCUGCUAAGGGAGCGAAAUUCAUGGACACUCAUGCUAGAUUUGGGAUAUUCCCAUCAUGGGGAUUGUCUCAGAAGCUUUCACGCAUUGUAGGAGUAAAUAAAGCUCGGGAGGUUUCGCUUACGGCCACGCCUUUGACUGCAGAGGUAGCUGAAAAGUUGGGUUUGGUGAACCAUGUUGUUGAGGAGGGUGAAUUGAUGAAGAAAAGCAAAGAAAUUGCGGAAGCUAUUGUGAAAAAUAACCAAGAUUUGGUGUUGAAGUACAAGUCAGUUAUAAAUGAUGGCAUUAAGCUUGAUCUUGGACAUGCUCUUUCUCUUGAAAAGGAGAGGGGCCAUGAUUAUUAUAAUGGAAUGACCAAGGAGCAAUUCAAGAAAAUGCAGGAAUUCAUAGCAGGAAGAAGUUCCAAGAAACAGUCCAAACUAUAGGUCUUUUAUUUUCACCAAUCUCUCAAAGUGUAAAGUUACAUAUUGUUUUGUUUCUAAUUGUUGAGGUUUUAUGAGUUAGCUGUAGUAAAAAUCUGCACACACACACACUGUUUAUUAUAAUGAAUUAUAUCCCCAGAUAAAAGUUCCUUAAUAUCAAACUAAAUAUCUUUAAUUGGUUCA